AUUAAGUUUUGUAAUUAUAGUGUGUACAAAGGUUACAGGAAGACAGAAGAAGGAGAAAAUAGUCAAUGUAUUUAAUCAUCCCAGCAACCGUGGGAGACAGGAAUUGUUGGCUCAUUUUCACAGAUGGGGAAACUGAGCUAAAACUCCUCAUGAAAUCUACAUGGAUGGAUGACAUGCAGGAAGAAACAUAAGCCAUUUCUUCUCAGAGUUCACCAUAUCACUAAGAAUGAUCAGAAUGAUUGUGAAGCACCGGAAAACUCCUAAACAUGAGAAAAAGAAGAUAAUUUAGAGUUUGUUUAUCAGAGCAUCCAGGUAGGAAGUAGAAAACACAGUUUGCCAUUCAAAUGUUUAUUUUAUAGAUUUGAAUGGAGGAAAUGUAGGCCCUGAAUUUUUCACUUCUUACCUGUUAUUGCUGUUAGGUCUUAACAACUGUCUCCCCCUACCCUCCUCAACAGAAGUAACUGAAGCAAGGCACCUAUGAACUCUGCCUUCCUGGCUCAGAAGCCAGUGCUGACCAGGAACUGUGUACAGGAAAGGGAGCUGCCGCCUGCUGACUGAUCCUGCGGAUCCUGCAGGGGUUGGAUGAGCAGCUUUGCCCUGUCAUAUCCCAGCCUAUCCUCCUGGUCCAGCAGCCCUCCCUGGCCCUCACUGCAGCUCACCAGUAACCCGUUUCUGUUGUGCAGAACUGGAGACCUCUCUUCCAAUGCGCAUUUGCACCAGGGUCUGCUUCUCUCAGAUUCUCUCUCUGGUCUGUGUCCAAGCAUACAGGCCAGAACCCAAGGCCAACCUUACUAUGCAUCCAAGGUUUCAAUUAAAUAAUGGGUUUGGGGGCAGUCGGUCUGGCUUGACUUAGUAUAUAUUAAUAGUACCUGAUUUACAAAUCCCUGCAAUAAGAAAAGGGUUCUGACUGGGGUUUACUACAAGGGCUCUCGGCAUCCAGCAGGAAUGGAGAGUCACCCCUUUGGGAUGGGGUAAGGAGCAGCCCCAAAAGGCUCAGAUGUGCCUAAGAGGUGUCACAGCUGGGUGGCUGCUGGGGAAACAAACCAAUUUUCUUAAUCAUUUGAAUUGGCUGAAUAAAAGAGAAAAUAAGUCAAGAGAAAAUAAAAUGAGGCUAUUAGAGAAAGAAGUCCUUGGGUACAGAGGUUGUUUCCGGGGGAGGGGGACAAUGUUUAUUAAUUCAAAUGUCUAUCUUAUUUUUUCCAAAGGCCAAUUCCUUUGGGUGCCCUAAUGUCAUUUUCUUUCUUGAUAAGUAUG
rnacentral:lncRNA from 1 species